rnacentral:rRNA from 1 species
GACGAACGCUGGCGGCGUGCUUAACACAUGCAAGUCGAACGGAAAGGCCCUGCUUUUGUUGGGUGCUCGAGUGGCGAACGUGUGAGUAACACGUGAGUAACCUACCCUUGACUUUGUUAUAACUUCAGGAAACUGGGGCUAAUACCGGAUAGGAGCUCCUGCUGCAUGGUGGGGGUUGGAAAGUUUCGGCGGUUGGGGAUGGACUCGCGGCUUAUCAGCUUGUUUGUGGGGUAGUGUCUUACCAAGGCUUUGACGGGUAGCCGGCCUGAGAGGGUGACCGGCGAAAUUGGGACUGAGAGACGGCACAGACGACUACGGGAGGCAGCAGGGGGGAAGAUUGCAAAAUGGGCGGAAGCAUGAUGAAGAAACGACGCGUGAGGGAUGACGGCCUUCGGGUUGUAAACAGAUUUAGAAUGUGAAGAAGAGUGAGUGACGGUAAUGGGUAAAGAAGCACCGGCUAACUACGUG